rnacentral:rRNA from 1 species
UACGGAGGGUGCAAGCGUUAUCCGGAUUCACUGGGUUUAAAGGGUGCGUAGGCGGGCAGGUAAGUCCGUGGUGAAAUCCCCGGGCUUAACCUGGGAAUGGCAUUCGGGACUGCAAGGCUGGAGUGCGGCAGAGGAGACUGGAAUUCCUGGUGUAGCAGUGAAAUGCGUAGAUAUCAGGAGGAACGCCGAUGGCGAAGGCAGGUCUCUGGGCUGACACUGACGCUCAUGCACGAAAGCGUGGGGAGCAAACAGG